rnacentral:lncRNA from 1 species
CUGUGCAAAUCCACCCUUUGAUCUUGCAAUGGUUGCUUAAAGAUCGGUAGAGGCGGACAAAAAGAGUGUUUGUUCGGGUGCAAUCUAAUGGUCAAUGUCGCAAAAGGAGAUCAAUCAUUUUCUAGUGCUAAUGAUACAACUCGAAUCCUAGUAAGCACAUAUGUAUAAGAAGGGUUCCUAUCCCACUUAGCUGUCGCAAUUAUUGUCUUUUGAUACCUCUGGACCGAGGUCAGUUUUCAACCACGCUCCAAAUCAUUAAGGACAAACAACAAUAGCCAGGCAUUUGGAGACAUGUUCGGGCUCCUUUAUGGUUUACCCGACAUGGAAAAAAAUUAUUCGAACAACUUGCACUAAGACAACCCUUGACGUAUAAAAUAUUAACAAGAUUGUACUGCAUGUAAUGGGCCCGAUGCUAAGAAAUGUUAAAAUAUAAAAAGAUUUGCAACAUCUUACACUAACAGCUAAUGGUUUCAAAAUGAGAGCCAUAGACUGCAUCGUUGUGUUCAUAUGAUUCUUACCAUGAGGGUUGAGAUUAGCUGCAGUUUGUUGGAAAGCAUGGGAAGCUCGUGAUGUUAGAAUCUUUAAUUUUCCAGCCAAAACUUUAGUGCUUUUGAUGUUAGAAGUCGAGCAUCUGAGAAGUGCAUUCAAACCUUUUGAUCUUUACUCUUUGUUGUCCAUAUAUUUUGUCCUAUGAUUUAUCUUUUUGGAUAUCCUUGAAUUCUUUCAACAUUUUAUAUAUUUUUUGAAGGAUUUAAUAU